rnacentral:rRNA from 1 species
GACGAACGCUGGCGGCGUGCCUAAUACAUGCAAGUAGAACGCUGAAGGAGGAGCUUGCUUCUCUGGAUGAGUUGCGAACGGGUGAGUAACGCGUAGGUAACCUGCCUGGUAGCGGGGGAUAACUAUUGGAAACGAUAGCUAAUACCGCAUAAGAGUAGAUGUUGCAUGACAUUUACUUAAAAGGUGCAAUUGCAUCACUACCAGAUGGACCUGCGUUGUAUUAGCUAGUUGGUGAGGUAACGGCUCACCAAGGCAACGAUACAUAGCCGACCUGAGAGGGUGAUCGGCCACACUGGGACUGAGACACGGCCCAGACUCCUACGGGAGGCAGCAGUAGGGAAUCUUCGGCAAUGGACGGAAGUCUGACCGAGCAACGCCGCGUGAGUGAAGAAGGUUUUCGGAUCGUAAAGCUCUGUUGUAAGAGAAGAACGAGUGUGUGAGUGGAAAGUUCACACUGUGACGGUAGCUUACCAGAAAGGGACGGCUAACUACGUG